UUCUUCAGUCUGUCAAACUCCCUUUGAGAUUUCUGUUCCAGGCAUCUUGCAGCACCAGAGCACUGCCCUCAGCCUAUUUGUGAAAGCAAACUAUAUUAGGUGUAAGUUUUUGUACAGCAAUUCCUUUUCCAGUGAACACUUGCACCUUUUCUUUGUUGGAAGGAAUUAUUGAAUCCAUGAGGAAUCUUCAGGUACAAAAAGAAGGCUGUUUGGAAUUUCACCUGGAAUUUCUUCACGUGUAAAAACAGACUGAAAGGAGGAGAAGAAGAAACACCCCAUACAUGGGCAGAGCCCACUACGUGUCAGACUCUCAUCCUCAGAAGAUCUGAAUUUUGCAUCACUGAACAAAGAGCUCUGGAGUGA
rnacentral:lncRNA from 1 species